GUUACUAUACUUUAUAUUAAGAAGGCUUGGUUUGCAACUAAGUAGAGGAUUUAUCCUAGUACCA
rnacentral:tRNA from 1 species